rnacentral:rRNA from 1 species
GACGAACGCUGGCGGCGUGCUUAACACAUGCAAGUCGAACGGAAAGGCCCUGCUUUUGUGGGGUGCUCGAGUGGCGAACGGGUGAGUAACACGUGAGUAACCUGCCCUUGACUUUGGGAUAACUUCAGGAAACUGGGGCUAAUACCGGAUAGGAGCUCCUGCUGCAUGGUGGGGGUUGGAAAGUUUCGGCGGUUGGGGAUGGACUCGCGGCUUAUCAGCUUGUUGGUGGGGUAGUGGCUUACCAAGGCUUUGACGGGUAGCCGGCCUGAGAGGGUGACCGGCCACAUUGGGACUGCGAUACGGCCCAGACUCCUACGGGAGGCAGCAGUGGGGAAUAUUGCACAAUGGGCGGAAGCCUGAUGCAGCAACGCUGCGUGCGGGAUGAAGGCCUUCGGGUUGUAAACCGCUUUCGCCUGUGACGAAGCGUGAGUGACGGUAAUGGGUAAAGAAGCACCGGCUAACUACGUG